AUCCAGCUCACCAGUCCCAAAUAGGACGAAGCACGCUUCCUGGAU
rfam:Schistosoma haematobium scaffold1145_9, whole genome shotgun sequence.